CGUCUUACUUUUAAGCUGUGUCAUCAUUGAUAAUUGCAAGUCUCCUGUGAAGUUGUGAACACACAUAAUGAGUGUUGACGAAUUUACGUCAAGUGAAAAAGAUUUCGAUUCGUGUGAUAAUUCGUCGCAAUCCACCGUCAAUCACGAAAGCAUGCUAUGCACGUGGUCUCAUCUUCGCGAUUUUUUUUAAUUUAACACUCACGAUAAAAAACCGGAAAAUUGUCAUUUCAGUGCAUCUUGUGUAAACCCCCCCAAAAAUAUAUAUCGGCGUCAGUGUCUUCAAACUCGAAUUUGAAAACGCACAUCAAGCAUAUACAUCAUAGUAACUUGGACGAUUUUAACAAAGCUUUGAAAAAUGGACUACAAGCAGGUAAAAGAAAUUUGAUACACAAACAAUUUGAUGAAUCAAAGUUAAAGCAAAGAAGAUUGGAUAGUUUAAAUAAAAAUAAUUUUUUAACUAAGCAAAAGUUUGACCAAGCCACUUUAAAACUCAUUAUAAAUACUGCAUCUGCAUUCUCACUUGUCGAGCACGAAGCAUUCAUUGAAUUUUGUAAAACAACAAUUCAGCAAACGCCUAUGACUCGCAAAACUCUCAUGACGCAUAUCGAUAAAACGUUCGAAAAAAUGAAAAUGGACCUGAUCGAAGAGCUAAAGAAAAAAGAUUGGGUGUGUGUAACAGCAGAUUGCUGGACGGCAGUUAGAAGAUCCUACUUGGGGAUGACAGUACAUUGGUUGGAUCAUGAUAGUCUAGAGAGAAAGUCAAAAGGUCUUGCGUGCCGUCGACUUCAAGGAAGACAUACGAUGUUCUUGCAAGAGCAAUUGAAUUGAUAUUAAUUGAAUUUAAUAUUCAAGAUAAGACAACAUGUGUUGUAACGGAUAAUGCUAGAAAUUUUGAAAAAGCUUCCAGAGUGUACAGUGAAAUUGAAGAAGAAGAUAAAAUAGAAAACGAACCUGAAGAAGAUCUAGAAUCGGUUGAAAUAUCGGAAUUUUUGGCUAAUAGUGAAGAAAGCUAUAGAUUACCACCUCAACAGAGAUGUGCUUCUCAUACAUUGAAUUUAGUUAGUACCGUUGAUACGGCUUGUGCUGAGAAAGAUACUAAUUAUAAAGGAAUUAGCAGAAGGACAUUUGCAAAAUGUCAAACUAUUUUUAACAAACAAAAUCAAUCAUCUGUCGUAGCAGAUAUGGGUAAAAAAAGUCUUAGAAAAUAUUUAAAAGUUCCAAA